rnacentral:rRNA from 1 species
CCAAGGAGUCUAACAUGUGCGCGAGUCAUUGGGACUACGCAAACCUAAAGGCGAAAUGAAAGUAAAGGUCAGCCUCGCGCUGACCGAGGGAGGAUGGGCCGCGUCACGAUGCGGCCCCGCACUCCCGGGGCGUCUCGUUCUCAUUGCGAGAAGAGGCGCACCCAGAGCGUACACGUUGGGACCCGAAAGAUGGUGAACUAUGCCUGGUCAGGACGAAGUCAGGGGAAACCCUGAUGGAGGUCCGUAGCGAUUCUGACGUGCAAAUCGAUCGUCGGAACUGGGUAUAGGGGCGAAAGACUAAUCGAACCAUCUAGUAGCUGGUUCCCUCCGAAGUUUCCCUCAGGAUAGCUGGCACUCGCGUACAAAACGUACACGAGUCUCAUCCGGUAAAGCGAAUGAUUAGAGGCCUUGGGGCCGAAACGACCUCAACCUAUUCUCAAACUUUAAAUGGGUGAGAUCUCUGGCUUGCUUGAACUAUGAAGCCACGAGAUUUCGGAUCAGAGUGCCAAGUGGGCCACUUUU